rnacentral:rRNA from 1 species
GACACGUGGUAUCCUGUCUGAAUAUGGGGGGACCAUCCUCCAAGGCUAAAUACUCCUGACUGACCGAUAGUGAACCAGUACCGUGAGGGAAAGGCGAAAAGAACCCCGGCGAGGGGAGUGAAAAAGAACCUGAAACCGUGUACGUACAAGCAGUGGGAGCACAGGUUUACCUGUGUGACUGCGUACCUUUUGUAUAAUGGGUCAGCGACUUAUAUUCUGUAGCAAGGUUAACCGMAUAGGGGAGCCGGAGGGAAACCGAGUCUUAAUUGGGCGUUAAGUUGCAGGGUAUAGACCCGAAACCCGGUGAUCUAGCCAUGGGCAGGUUGAAGGUUGGGUAACACUAACUGGAGGACCGAACCGACUAAUGUUGAAAAAUUAGCGGAUGACCUGUGGCUGGGGGUGAAAGGCCAAUCAAACCGGGAGAUAGCUGGUUCUCCCCGAAAGCUAUUUAGGUAGCGCCUCGUGAAYUCAUCUCCGGGGGUAGAGCACUGUUUCGGCUAGGGGGCCAUCCCGGCUU